rnacentral:rRNA from 1 species
GGGGAGUAUGGUCGCAAGGCUGAAACUUAAAGGAAUUGACGGAAGGGCACCACCAGGAGUGGAGCCUGCGGCUUAAUUUGACUCAACACGGGGAAACUUACCAGGUCCAGACAUAGUAAGGAUUGACAGACUGAGAGCUCUUUCUUGAUUCUAUGGGUGGUGGUGCAAGGUCGUUCUUAGUUGGUGGAGCAAUUUGUCCAGUUAAUUCCGUUAACGAACGAGACCUCAGCCUGCUAACUAGCUAUGCGGAGGUAUCCCUUCGCAGCUAGCUUCUUAGAGGGACUAUGGCCUUUUAGGCCGCGGAAGUUAGAGGCAAUAGCAGGUCUGUGAUGCCCUUAGAUGUUCUGGGCUGCACGCGCGCUACACUGAUGUAUUCAACGAGCUUAUAUCCUUGGCCGACAGGCCCGGGUAAUCUUUGAAAUUUCAUCGUUAUGGGGAUAGAUCAUUGCAAUUGUUGGUCUUCAACGAGGAAAAUCCCCAUGUCUUCAAGUUAUGAAAUAUAUGAUGUGGGAUUUUGACCU